UACGUAGGGUGCGAGCGUUGUCCGAAAUUAUUGGGCGUAAAGAGCUCGUAGGCGGUUUGUCACGUCUGCUGUGAAAUCCCGAGGCUCAACCUCGGGCCUGCAGUGGGUACGGGCAGACUGGAGUGCGGUAGGGGAGAAUGGAAUUCCUGGUGUAGCGGUGGAAUGCGCAGAUAUCAGGAGGAACACCGAUGGCGAAGGCAGUUCUCUGGGCCGUAACUGACGCUGAGGAGCGAAAGCGUGGGGAGCGAACAGG
rnacentral:rRNA from 1 species